rfam:Schistosoma rodhaini strain Burundi genome assembly, scaffold: SROB_scaffold0000304
AUCCAGAUGACGAUUCCUAGAUAAAACGAAACGAGCGUCCUGGAU